rnacentral:rRNA from 1 species
UACGUAGGGUGCAAGCGUUGUCCGGAAUUAUUGGGCGUAAAGAGCUCGUAGGUGGCCUGUCGCGUCGGCUGUGAAAACUCGGGGCUCAACUCCGAGCUUGCAGUCGAUACGGGCAGGCUAGAGUUCGGCAGGGGAGACUGGAAUUCCUGGUGUAGCGGUGAAAUGCGCAGAUAUCAGGAGGAACACCGGUGGCGAAGGCGGGUCUCUGGGCCGAUACUGACACUGGAGGAGCGAAAGCGUGGGGAGCGAACAGG